UUAUUAUUAUAUGUUUUUCGUUUAUAAAUAUAGUUGAGUUUGAAAGUGUAGACGUUAAAACCCGUGUUUACAUUAGCUUCUUGUCUGAAAGAGCACGUUUGGAAACAACAGAGGCCGCUGUUGCGUCAGGUAAAAACUCGUCUGGUGACGACGGAGUGUACAAUCAACAAACAGGUCUAACAACGUCAACACUUUCGAAGCUCUGAGGGUCUUAUUGACCAUGCAGUAAGAAUUGCAACAGCCAACCAAAGACAGUAUCUUGUUUCACCAGUGGAUGUUGAAGUCCACUUACACCAGAGUCACAACUUUGACCAGUAUCCUUUUGUAAAUGAAGGUUAUUUUUUGUCCUUAGUCAUUAGUUAUAAUAAGUAGGUAAAUAAUGUAAGAAAGCAGCUCAGUUACAUAGAUGAACCUCCACUCAGGGCAUUUAUGUCUAAAUAAAAAUGCUUUCUGCUAAUGUGAACUAUGGUGGGCGUGGCUAACCAGAAGCCUUUUUCUUUUACACCAGAAACAAAAACAAAAAAAUCUGACCGACACCACCAAUAUGUGGGCGGGGCUUGUCCCAAUUAACAUAUUGCACUCAACAUGAGUGCAGUAAUGACAUUAAGUCCAUCCACAGCGUCAUCUGCGGUCAGUCAGCCUAACUGUCGUGUGUGGUGGGUACAGAGGCAGACGCUGUGGUCAGUCUGAGCACUGAGUUUAAAAUUCAGAGGUUCAGAGGUCUCUAAAAUAUCUGUACGUCACCAGGGGGCGACAGAUGUCUGCAGGAAAAAGAGGAGAGUUUUUUUUUUUUACAGAAUUGACCAUGUGUUUUAACAUGGUCUCAGUCUUCUAACACUUCUAACUGUGAUCACACUGGAUGAAUGAAUGAAUGAAUGAAUGGUCAGGACGUGUACAGUGCUGUGUGAACAGCCGGACGUCCAGAGUCCAGAGCAGUCCAUUUCUGGUGUCGUGUUGCAUCUGGGCUGAGCUAACCACUGUGCAUAGUGAUGCUGAGCUGGGAUAGCAUCACCUCACUUACAGUGAAAGCUUGCAUGACACAGUAGACUAUACCAUUAGGCUCCAUUUAUUCUGCCCCCACCCUCACCUAACCCCCCCACGGCUUGCCCGCUGAUGUAUUUUCCCUCCUGCUCUCUGCCUCCCACUCAUUGCAAGGAAAAGGAGACUCAACUUGGACCUUAAUUAUUUUUCCUUGGCCACACUUCUCCGCCCCUCACAUCGUCUCCCUGCCAUCAACGGCUUCAUCCUGAAGAUCGAUGUGCGCAAGAGAGCGUGACUCUUUAAUCUUGGGCGGGGGGUGGGGGGGGUCAGGGUCUGCACCGUACGCCUGUUGCUCUACACUUAUACACUAUAUAUUUAUAUAUAUAUAUAUCUACAUUUAUAUUUAUACACCAACAUUUGCAUAUAUAACAGUCAUGUUAUGAUCGUUAUAACUCAUCGUGAGACUCGUUUUACUUUCUUACAUUUACUGUACAUAUUUACAUAAAUUCUAUGAGUGGAACUAAUUCUUUUAUACAUAUAUAUCUAGCUGCAAAUUUACAUUUGAGUCUUAAAUCUGUUAAAUUCCACGUCUGAGUAAUUUUGUCAAGCAAUGAUGACAUCAUUCUUUUUUUGUUACUCGAUGCGGCGCCUGUUUAACAAAGACAAUGAGCUCAGACUCUUACCUUUGGUCAUGCUCAUUCAAGUUUAUUUCAGACAUGCAGAACUAUGGCACAGUAAACCAGUCAUACAGUAUAAAUGUAUAAACAUCAACAUCAGAGUGCCAAGAACAGUGCAUUCAUCGUGGAGGAGGAGGGUGAGAAGAAACGAACCCCCCGCCCCAGACCCCAGACCUCUUCACCCCUCCCCUGCCUGAGCCCCCUACCCAACCCAACCAUGUCUUGCAGUAUAUUGUAAAGAGGGUGUGUACAGGUCCAGGCAGUUCAGUCUAAUGGGGGCUGGUUCCUUUUUUCUUAUAUUCAUUUUUUUUUUUUCAUAGUAGCACGCAAAGCGAGAUAGACGGCGACUGCAGCUUGAUGUUUUUUUGUUGUACAUGUUGUUUUGUUUGUUUGUUUUUCUCAUUGUCCAGGUGAUGUAAACAGUGUAUGAAAUCAGCUUAAAAUCUCGCCACAGCCACAGACUGCUCCGUGCAAAAUACAUAAGAAAACUCGCUACAGUUCAAAAGUGGAGACAUCAAAACAGGGCGCGACUGCGGGUGGGCCCGUACGGACCGCAUACCAGAAAUGUACGCCGCCUUCAGGUGAGCGUCAACAGCCUCGGACUAAGUAACUCUCCAUGAGUAGCUUGAAAACUGAGGCCGGUUCGGACCUGAUUCAUGAAGGUAACAAACAUUUUCCUGACUUUCAACAACUAGUAAGGCCAAUUCCAUUUAGGUGAAAAUACACAAUAACACAGGAAGGAGGACACUGAUGGCUGUGGACACUGUCAACCUUGAACCCCUCAAAUCCAGUCACAUCCUACUGAAGAUCCUGAACCUAGCUGACUGUCAACUUCAACUAGUUUGACCAAAAAUACCAGAGCUCCGACUGCUGCUCCGAGGAUAUACCAGCCUGAAAUGAAGUCUCACUGUCUUGACCAGUCAGUAAAUCCUACUGAAUGCGACUCACUCAGUUCUAGACUUCCACAGCCUAAUAGCUGAGUGAAGGGGAUUUAGUUUUUUAACAGUAAACUCUACCAACCUCCUCAUCAUCGGUACAAAAGUAAGAGAUACAAUGGUGGACGAAUACCUGAAAAGAACCUGCAGUACUGAGUCUGGCCGUGAUGAAGGACAGUUUUUUGUCUUUUUUUUUUUUACUACUUCCUUUCAUGGAGAGCAGCCUUUCAAAUAAUUCCCAUGGCUUCAUUUUUUUUUGACCACCAGAAGGCGGCGUACAUUUCUCACACAGUCUAAAGAUGCACUGAGGUCCAAGAGUUUUUUUUUUUUCAUCUGUUGUUGAUCCAGCUAUAAAUGUGUGUUAUUUUUGAUUUUUUUUUUAGCCUUUUAUUAGACAAUCUUUUUUUUUUUGUUAUGUUUUUGAACCUCUCUAUGGCCUCUAUGUCAGACAGGAGCGUGAGCAUCAGUGCACCGAUGAGUUAGUUAGACUUUCUUCCCGUCUGGUGAUAGACAGACAUAACAACAGGCCGUACAUCUCUUCCCGUCCUUUUGUUCCUGAGUUUGUGCGGUGUGUAAUGGGCGUGAGUGAAGCCAGACACGGAGUAAAUGGACCUGUGAUUUCUUUUUCUCUUUUCCUUUGUUUCGCAGCAGCA